rnacentral:rRNA from 1 species
UACAGAGGUCUCAAGCGUUGUUCGGAUUCAUUGGGCGUAAAGGGUGCGUAGGUGGCGCCGUAAGUCGGGUGUGAAAUUUCGGAGCUUAACUCCGAAACUGCAUUCGAUACUGUGGUGCUUGAGGACUGGAGAGGAGACUGGAAUUCAUGGUGUAGCAGUGAAAUGCGUAGAGAUCAUGAGGAAGACCAGUGGCGAAGGCGGCGCUCUGGCUCGCAACUGACGCUCAGACACGACAGCAUGGGGAGCGAACGGG